rnacentral:rRNA from 1 species
GAUGAACGCUGGCGGCGUGCCUAAUACAUGCAAGUCGAGCGAACGGACGAGAAGCUUGCGUCUCUGAUGUUAUCGGCGGACGGGUGAUUAACACGUGGAAAACCUCCCUAUGAGACUGGGAUACCUUCGGGAAACCGGAGCUAAUCCCGGAUGAUAUUUUGAUCCGCAUGGUUCAGAAGUGAAAGACGGUCUUUCUGUCACUUAUAGAUGGAUCCGCGCUGCAUUCGCUAGUUGGUAAGGUAACGGCUUAUCAAGGCAACGAUGCAUAGCCGACCUGGGAGGGUGAUCGGCGACACCGGACCUGAGCUGCGGUCCAGACUCGUAUGGUACGCAGCGGUAGGGUGUCUUCCGCAAUGGGCGAAAGCCUGACGGAGUGCAGCCGCGUGAGUGAUGAAGGUCUUCGGAUCGUAUAGCUCUGUUAUUAGGGAGGAACAGAUGUGUAAGUAACUGUGCACAGCUUGACGGUACCCAAUCAGAAAGCCACGGCUAACUACGUG